AACUUUUAACAACGGAUCACUUGGCUCUCGCAUCGAGGAAGAACGCAGCGAAAUGCGAUAAGUAAUGUGAAUUGCAGAAUUCAGUGAAUCAUCGAAUCUUUGAACGCACCUUGCGCCCCUUGGCUAUUCCGAGGGGCAUGCCUGUUUGAGUAUCAUGAACACCUCAACUCUCAUGGUUUGCCAUGAUGAGCUUGGGCUCUGGGCGGUUUUGCUGGCCUAUGGUCGGCUCCUCUGAAACGGAGCAGCUUGCCAGUGUUUGGUGGCGGCGCCGGUGUGCUAACUAUCUAUGCUUGUGCUCGCCCGCCAAGUAACCUUCAGAGGCGGAGGUUCGCUGGAGCUUAUAGAUGUCUAUCCUCAGCGAAGACAGCUUUUUGACCGUUCGAUCUCAAAUCAGGUAGGACUACCCGCUGAACUUAAGCAUAUCAAUAAGCGGAGGCU
rnacentral:misc_RNA from 1 species